ACCUGGUCCGGGUGCGCAGCGUGCCCGGAUCACCAGACAGGCACAGAUCUCGGGGAAGAACCGGGGCAUGUUGGGGUGUU
rfam:Streptomyces sp. NRRL F-6602 F6602contig44.1, whole genome shotgun sequence.